UACGUAGGUGGCAAGCGUUAUCCGGAAUUAUUGGGCGUAAAGCGCGCGCAGGUGGUUUCUUAAGUCUGAUGUGAAAGCCCACGGCUCAACCGUGGAGGGUCAUUGGAAACUGGGAGACUUGAGUGCAGAAGAGGAAAGUGGAAUUCCACGUGUAGCGGUGAAAUGCGUAGAGAUGUGGAGGAACACCAGUGGCGAAGGCGGCUUUCUGGUCUGUAACUGACGCUGAGGCGCGAAAGCGUGGGGAGCAAACAGG
rnacentral:rRNA from 1 species